UACGGGAGGCAGCAGUGGGGAAUAUUGCACAAUGGACGAAAGUCUGAUGCAGCAACGCCGCGUGGAGGAUGACACAUUUCGGUGCGUAAACUCCUUUUAUAUGAGAAGAUAAUGACGGUAUUAUAUGAAUAAGCACCGGCUAACUCCGUGCCAGCAGCCGCGGUAAUACGGGGGGUGCAAGCGUUACUCGGAAUCACUGGGCGUAAAGAGCAUGUAGGCGGAUUAAUAAGUUUGAAGUGAAAUCCUAUAGCUUAACUAUAGAACUGCUUUGAAAACUGUUAAUCUAGAAUGUGGGAGAGGUAGAUGGAAUUUCUGGUGUAGGGGUAAAAUCCGUAGAGAUCAGAAGGAAUACCGAUUGCGAAGGCGAUCUACUGGAACAUUAUUGACGCUGAGAUGCGAAAGCGUGGGGAGCAAACAGGAUUAGAUACCCUGGUAGUCCACGCCCUAAACGAUGUACACUAGUUGUUGUGAGACUUGAUCUUGCAGUAAUGCAGUUAACACAUUAAGUGUACCGCCUGGGGAGUACGGUCGCAAGAUUA
rnacentral:rRNA from 1 species